AAAGAAAGAAAGAAAAGCACUUUGGUGGAGGGUGAACAUGGCAAGUGGAAGGGAAGAAUAUGAGCAACAUGAAUAUGAAUGAUUAAUCAUUUUGGCCACUUGAAGAAAUUUGGUGUCAUCAUACAUACAACCAUGUUCAAAGAACCUCAAUUUUUGUUAUUCUUUUAUCCCUUAUUAUGGUUUACCACACAUAUGUAGUUUAAUUUUUUUUUAUGUAAUUUAGAAAAAUAAUGACUCAUAAUUAGAUGUAAAUUAUCAUGAUCGAUCGAACAAUAGAGAUGUAUUUAUAUAA